rnacentral:rRNA from 1 species
AGGACGCUUGCUUCACUGAUGUUGCUUAUCUCUUCGGAGCUGUGGAAAGAGAGAAAUGUGCGGGUCUUUCGUAACAUGAGCGUUCCCAUGGGGGUAAUUGUCGUUAGGACUAAAGACAAGGCAUCUCUGUGGAGUAUUGCAGGGGCGAAAUCUUUAAGUAAUGUAAUGACGCGAGAGUGA